GAUGAAGAACGCAGCGAAAUGCGAUAAGUAAUGUGAAUUGCAGAAUUCAGUGAAUCAUCGAAUCUUUGAACGCACCUUGCGCCCUUUGGCCAUUCCGAAGGGCAUGCCUGUUUGAGUAUCAUGAACACCUCAACUCUUCAUGGUUUUCCGUGAUGAGCUUGGACUUUGGGGGUCUUGCUGGCCUAUGGUCAGCUCCUCUAAAAUAAAUCAGCUUGCCAGUGUUUGGUGGGUAUCACAGGUGUGAUAACUAUCUACGCUUGUGGUUUUCCACCAGGUAACCUUCAGCAGUGGAGGUUCGCUGGAGCUCACAGAUGUGUCUCUCCUCAGUGAGGACAGCUCUUUGAAUGUUUGAUCUCAAAUCAGGUAGGACUACCCGCUGAACUUAAGCAUAUCAAUAAGCGAGGA
rnacentral:misc_RNA from 1 species